CUUUAGGACCCAGAUUCUACAGCGGAAGAAGAAACGCCUCACUCUUAUUCCCAUCACCACCACCAUCCUCCUCCUCCUCCUCCUCCAGCCUCCACCGCGAAGAUGCUGCAUCCCGUCCCCCAGGCUCUAAUCAUGUGUUUCAGUGUGUUAGUUAGCGGACAAGCCGAGGACUCCAGACUGACCGAGAGAGCUUAUGUGGUCUUAGAGAAGCAGAAUUUAGUCACGCUCGGCAGCGUCCUCGGAGUCCUGCUGCUGCUAAUGAUUAUCAUGGCUGUGUGUGUCUACAAACCGCUGGCUCGUCGGUGAGCUCGUCCCGUAAACCUGGAGAGGAUACGAGGACCGAGAGACAAACCUGCACCGAGUACCGAGCAGCUCAGCCCCGGUACCACAAGGCGCUCCUGACGGGUCCAGACUCAGAGGAGAACCGAGCUCUGCACCCAGACUGCACGGUUAUUGAUUAACUGGGAUUUCAUUGGUCCUAAAAGCAGGCCAUUUAAUAAUUGUUGUAUGUUUGGAUGGGAUUACAUCUAUGCAUUUUUUUUAUUUAGUUUAAAUAAACAGGGGGGACAUAUUACA